rnacentral:rRNA from 1 species
AGUGAACGCUGGCGGUAGGCCUAACACAUGCAAGUCGAACGGCAGCACAGUAAGAGCUUGCUCUUACGGGUGGCGAGUGGCGGACGGGUGAGGAAUACAUCGGAAUCUACUUUUUCGUGGGGGAUAACGUAGGGAAACUUACGCUAAUACCGCAUACGACCUACGGGUGAAAGCAGGGGAUCUUCGGACCUUUCGCGAUUGAAUGAGCCGAUGUCGGAUUAGCUAGUUGGCGGGGUAAAGGCCCACCAAGGCGACGAUCCGUAGAUGGUCUGAGAGGAUGAUCAGCCACACUGGAACUGAGACACGGUCCAGACUCCUACGGGAGGCAGCAGUGGGGAAUAUUGGACAAUGGGCGCAAGCAUGAUCCAGCCAUACCGCGUGGGUGAAGAAGGCCUUCGGGUUGUAAAGCCCUUUUGUUGGGAAAGAAAAGCAGCAGGUUAAUACCCCGCUGUUCUGACGGUACCCAAAGAAUAAGCACCGGCUAACUUCGUG